rnacentral:tRNA from 1 species
AGGCGUAUAGCUCAGUUGGAAUAUAAUGAAUUUAGAUUAUCCUUGACAUCGUAGAGGUCUCCAGUUCGAGUCUGGAUAUGCCUACCA